UGCGACUCACACAGUGACAGCAAAUGCAUAGCCUCUUUGGGAUUACUCAGGAACCAGGACUUUUCACACAAGUGUGAGAGAUUCUACCAAGGCGUUCUGUAACCUAGCAGCAUCUCACAAAGCUCCAAUCCGAUUCCAGAAAAGACCUCUUGCUCUGUCCAGGUAGAACCUA
rfam:Erinaceus europaeus unplaced genomic scaffold scaffold00424, whole genome shotgun sequence